rnacentral:rRNA from 1 species
GCCGGAAUUGCUAGUAAUGGCAGGUCAGCAUACUGCCGUGAAUACGUUCCCGGGCCUUGUACACACCGCCCGUCACACCAUGGGAGCUGGUAACACCCGAAGUCAGUAGUCUAACCGCAAGGAGGACGCUGCCGAAGGUGGGAUUAGCGACUGGGGUGAAGUCGUAACAAGGUACC